UAGACAUCUUCUCACAGUGUGACCUCACACACAUCAUACAUGCAAGGCCACACCAACACAGGCAGAGUCUCUGCACUUAAAAAAAUCAGGACUGCAAGGGCUGAAUCCUAAAUAUACUCCUUUAAGGCUUGUCAGGGCCAGGACAUAGGCAUCUAGGCCUAUUGGGUAGCACAAGGCAGGGGGCCAGGCCCCCACACCAGCCAAUGUUCAAAAUCAGGAGAUCUACAGCCAAGAGUCAGAUACCAGGCUGAGUCAGUAAGCCAUGAGGUCAAGAGCCAGCACUGGAGAACUCGGGAGGUCUGAAAGAUUUAGAAAGAAGGCAGCAUUACUGGUCUUUUAAAAAAGGGAGAGUGGGGAAGGAAGAGAAAGAAUGAUCCUGUCACAUACCAUCUGGUUUUCUUUCUGUCCAAAAUGUAAGGAAGUUAAUUCCCAGCCCUCCCAUCUGAAUAACGGUUCAGUGUCAAAUCCAUGUAGCCGCGUGUGGGGACACACUGAUGAAGUCUUUAGUGCGGCCAGAGAGGAGUAAACUUGAAUCUCAUGUUAAUAUUUGUUUGAUCAGAGAGUUAUUCUUCUGGUAUCAGUGAAAUGCUGACUAUUUCCAAAGCAUUUCAAAGCUCUGGGGAGUUACCGUAGUCUCUCCGGCUGCAAUGAAACUGUCUUAAUCUUUAUAAAAUAUGCCUCGCUAUCAUUAAA